rnacentral:misc_RNA from 1 species
CAGAAAGCACUGAAAAAUUUUCUAUGAUGAAAAUGGGAACAAACUUAUAGAAAAUUUGAGUUCAACCCAAGUACAUUUUUAACCAAAACAAUUAUACAUCUUUCAUGUGUGUGAAGAAGUCAAGCACUUGCAUAAAAUAGCAGUGUGUCUUCUGCUGUAUAGGCAAUCGCCAGUUUCACAAACCUAGUUUGUCAAAGUAUGUAUGCCCUGAAAGUUCAAGCCAUGCUUCUCUUUCCUUUAAACCGAGCGUAGCUGGUUUUAUCUCUUUGGGUCCCUGAUGAAGUUUUUGAUGAUUCUCUUGUAUCACCUGUAGCAUUCUUCUUUCGUCUAGGAGCACCUGGGUCAACCAAUGGACCUGACCAAGUUUGCACUGGCUCUUUUGAGUAGGUGAAUGAAGUAGAGCUAUAGCGUACAUCGGUAGGAACAAAUGCAGGAUCAAUAUGCUGUGAUGAUCCUAAAGGAUAGCCAAGUGCCCCAUCCUGGUGAGGUGGAGGAAACUUUUCACUCUUGCACUUUGCAUUUGCAUGGUUAAUCAGCCGUCUUUUAUCAAUAUUAGGUUGGAGCUCUACAUUGGCUUCCGGGGCAGGCAUUGCCCUAGCAACACGUUCACGUGUCCGCUGUUUCUUUGCGUUAUCACCCUGGGCUUUUGCAGCUGCUCUUAAUCUUCGAGCUUCAUCAUCUCG